rnacentral:rRNA from 1 species
AGCAGCCGCGGUAAUUCCAGCUCCAAUAGCGUAUAUUAAAGUUGUUGCAGUUAAAAAGCUCGUAGUUGAGCCUUAGGCCCGUGCGGGUGGUCCGUCCUCUGGGCGAGCACUGCGUCGUUGCGGGUCUCACCUUCUGGCGAGCGUGGAUGCCAUUCACUUGGUGUCCGCGGGAACCAGGACCUUUACCUUGAAAAAAUUAGAGUGCUCAAAGCGGGCUCGUACGCUUGAAUACAUUAGCAUGGAAUAAUGAAAUAGGACGACGGUUCUAUUUUGUUGGUUUCCGGGACAGUCGUAAUGAUUAAUAGGGAUAGUUGGGGGCAUUCGUAUUCAAUUGUCAGAGGCGAAAUUCUUGGAUUUAUUGAAGACGAACUACUGCGAAAGCAUUUGCCAAGGAUGUUUUCAUUAAUCAUGAACGAAAGUUGGGGGAUCGAAGACGAUCAGAUACCGUCGUAGUCUCAACCAUAAACUAUGCCGACUGGGAAUCGGGCGAUGUUACUCUUUUGACUCGCUC